rnacentral:rRNA from 1 species
CAGCGAAAUGCGAUACCUAGUGUGAAUUGCAGAAUUCCGCGAAUCAUCGAGUCUUUGAACGCAAGUUGCGCCCGAGGCUUGUCCCGAGGGCAUGCCUGCCUGAGCGUCACCGCACUCCCACCCGACGAACCCUCGUCGCGCGUGGAAAUGGCCGUCCGGGGUCGGGCGUCGAUGCCCAGCGCCGCGGUCGGCUGAAAUGGAGCGUUCUGGACGUAGCCGGAGAGGGGGAUUGCGAGAAGGUGAUCCGCCCUCUGGGCGGAGUCUAUUUUGACAGCGUCCCUCGAUCCGGGAGGUCCCACGGAACUCGAAGCGGGAGCUCGCCCGGUCGAUCGCUCGCGGUCGGUUGGGCGAGUCACACCACUGCUUGGACCUCAGAUCAGGCAAGAUUACCCGCUGAGUUUAAGCAUAUCAAU